CUACGGGAGGCAGCAGUGGGGAAUCUUGCGCAAUGGGCGAAAGCCUGACGCAGCGACGCCGCGUGAGUGAUGAAGGCCUUCGGGUUGUAAAGCUCUGUGGGGAGAGACGAAUAAGUGCGGGCGAAUACUCCGCAUGAUGACGGUAUCUCCUUAGCAAGCACCGGCUAACUCUGUGCCAGCAGCCGCGGUAAGACAGAGGGUGCAAACGUUGUUCGGAAUUACUGGGCGUAAAGCGUGUGUAGGCGGCUAAGAAAGUCGGACGUGAAAGCCCCGGGCUCAACCCGGGAAGUGCGCUCGAUACUGCUUGGCUAGAGUUUCGGAGAGGUUGGUGGAAUUCUCGGUGUAGAGGUGAAAUUCGUAGAUAUCGGGAAGAACACCGGCGGCGAAGGCGGCCAACUGGACGAAAACUGACGCUGAGACACGAAAGCGUGGGGAGCAAACAGGAUUAGAAACCCUGGUAGUCC
rnacentral:rRNA from 1 species